UUGACUGAAUCUCAGCUCUACAAUAUCACCGGCAAGGAAUGCAUCGGAGUGUGCUUAUAUAAAACUGUUAUGCGCAAGUGUCAUCGGAUGUUCGCACUGGGAUGCUGGAUAUCGCUUUAAAUUCUAUAAAUGCGCAGGGCGGGAGACAACAGACCACAGACUGCUGUUAUGCAAUACUCUCUACAUGACCUUGUGAACUCAUUCGGCUUGGCGACCCAGCAAGAAAAUGAGCAUUUGAUGGCAUAUGAUUUUUUGUGAGCUGAGGGAUUUCAUGCGAUUAGAUACACAGGAAGUGACAUCAACGGGUCAGAACUGAAAUAUGUCGCAGGACCGGGAGCUAGAAAUGUCCAGAACCUGGCAUGCUGAACAUGAAGCCCAGCAGGUGAGGACUGAGUGAUGCUCGUGAGCGCUGGAUAAACCACAGGCUGACAGAGGCACGAGAGGGGGAGUCACUCCCUGUCAAUGAACUCCUGCCCCCCCCCCCCACAAAUUAGGGAGGUACUCCUGGAAGCAGACUCCGCCCUCCCUCCCACCCCUGGCCUCCGUUGAACCGCAAGCAGAGUGGCACAACCCGGAGGAGCUCUGUUGCCGUGACGCUGCUGACCGUCGCCGGGUUAUAUGGAGACUCCCUUACGGCACGGGGCGCGAGCGAGCGUGCGUCCGACGUGCCCGCCCCGGGUUCGUCCGCAGCCGUGCAGGGGGCACCGAGCUCCGCGCCCUCAGAUCUUCAGUGGGAUCAAUGGACCCAGUCCAUCUGAGCAGAAUGACCAGGGUCAGCAUCAAAGGCCCCCGGUCUGUGCCCAGGCCACCUGGAGCUGGGCUGGGGUCAUGGGGCCGGCCCCCUGCCCGCUCCACUUCCCCCUCUCCCCCGGCCCGCUCCCCUGGGCAGACCAUGGGCACUGCGCAGGAACACAGCCAAUGUGUGAUCUCUCGUGCCCCCAUGGCGGGGGUCAGAGGUUAACCACACCAGACCACUGCCUGGUCGCAGAUGCACUUCAGGAAGUUUCAUUUUGUUUUAUUUAUCAUUUUGUUUAAAAAAAUAAUAAAACAAGGAAACAGACUUUUGACAACAUUUUUUUUCCUUCUCCCCUCUCCACCUUUGUUCAGGGCAAUAAAUAUUUGUGAAAAGAAUUAAAGACAGAAUGCAAAACAUUGGGUGUGAAGAUCGAGUUCAUGGUGUGUACAUUUGCAGUGUCGGGACCACAUACAGUGUAUUAAAGACCACUCUCGCGCCAACCAAAAUGCUGCUGUAUUUG